rnacentral:pre_miRNA from 1 species
CUUGGCACCGAAGAAUUCACUGAGUAGUUCUCUAGCAUCAGUGGACUCGCGGUUCCAAACC